GGCGAACGGGUGAGUAACACGUGGGCAAUCUGCCCUGCACUCUGGGACAAGCCCUGGAAACGGGGUCUAAUACCGGAUACGACCACUGAGGGCAUCCUCGGUGGUGGAAAGCUCCGGCGGUGCAGGAUGAGCCCGCGGCCUAUCAGCUUGUUGGUGGGGUGAUGGCCUACCAAGGCGACGACGGGUAGCCGGCCUGAGAGGGCGACCGGCCACACUGGGACUGAGACACGGCCCAGACUCCUACGGGAGGCAGCAGUGGGGAAUAUUGCACAAUGGGCGAAAGCCUGAUGCAGCGACGCCGCGUGAGGGAUGACGGCCUUCGGGUUGUAAACCUCUUUCAGCAGGGAAGAAGCGAGAGUGACGGUACCUGCAGAAGAAGCGCCGGCUAACUACGUGCCAGCAGCCGCGGUAAUACGUAGGGCGCGAGCGUUGUCCGGAAUUAUUGGGCGU
rnacentral:rRNA from 1 species